AUUGAACGCUGGCGGCAGGCCUAACACAUGCAAGUCGGACGGUAGCACAGAGGAGCUUGCUCCUCGGGUGACGAGUGGCGGACGGGUGAGUAAUGUCUGGGGAUCUGCCCGAUAGAGGGGGAUAACCACUGGAAACGGUGGCUAAUACCGCAUAACGUCGCAAGACCAAAGAGGGGGACCUUCGGGCCUCUCACUAUCGGAUGAACCCAGAUGGGAUUAGCUAGUAGGCGGGGUAAUGGCCCACCUAGGCGACGAUCCCUAGCUGGUCUGAGAGGAUGACCAGCCACACUGGAACUGAGACACGGUCCAGACUCCUACGGGAGGCAGCAGUGGGGAAUAUUGCACAAUGGGCGCAAGCCUGAUGCAGCCAUGCCGCGCGUAUGAAGAAGGCCUUCGGGUUGUAAAGUACUUUCAGCGGGGAGGAAGGCGAUGUGGUUAAUAACCUUGUCGAUUGACGUUACCCGCAGAGGAAGCACCGGCUAACUCCGUGCCAGCCGCCGCUGUAA
rnacentral:rRNA from 1 species